rnacentral:rRNA from 1 species
AUACGUAGGUGACAAGCGUUAUCCGGAUUUACUGGGCGUAAAGGGCGUGUAGGCGGUCUUGCAAGUCAGAAGUGAAAUUCCUGAGCUCAACUCGGGCGCUGCUUCUGAAACUGCAGGACUUGAGUGCUGGAGGGGAUAGCGGAAUUCCUAGUGGAGCGGUAAAAUGCGCAGAUAUUAGGAGGAACACCAGUGGCGAAGGCGGCCUGCUGGACGACAACUGACGCUGAGGCGCGAAAGCGUGGGGAGCAAACAGGAUUAGAUACCCUGGUAGUCCACGCUGUAAACGAUGAAUACUAGGUGUGGGGGGACUGACCCCUUCCGUGCCGCAGUUAACACAAUAAGUAUUCCACCUGGGGAGUACGGCCGCAAGGUUGAAACUCAAAUGAAUUGACGGGG